AUGCAGUCGAACGAUGAAGCCCAGCUUGCUGGGUGGAUUAGUGGCGAACGGGUGAGUAACACGUGAGUAACCUGCCCUUAACUCUGGGAUAAGCCUGGGAAACUGGGUCUAAUACCGGAUAGGAGCGUCCACCGCAUGGUGGGUGUUGGAAAGAUUUAUCGGUUUUGGAUGGACUCGCGGCCUAUCAGCUUGUUGGUGAGGUAAUGGCUCACCAAGGCGACGACGGGUAGCCGGCCUGAGAGGGUGACCGGCCACACUGGGACUGAGACACGGCCCAGACUCCUACGGGAGGCAGCAGUGGGGAAUAUUGCACAAUGGGCGMAAGCCUGAUGCAGCGACGCCGCGUGAGGGAUGACGGCCUUCGGGUUGUAAACCUCUUUCAGUAGGGAAGAAGCGAAAGUGACGGUACCURCAGAAGAAGCACCGGCUAACUACGUGCCAGCAGCCGCGGUAAUACGUAGGGUGCGAGCGUUAUCCGGAAUUAUUGGGCGUAAAGAGCUCGUAGGCGGUUUGUCGCGUCUGUCGUGAAAGUCCGGGGCUUAACCCCGGAUCUGCGGUGGGUACGGGCAGACUAGAGUGCAGUAGGGGAGACUGGAAUUCCUGGUGUAGCGGUGGAAUGCGCAGAUAUCAGGAGGAACACCGAUGGCGAAGGCAGGUCUCUGGGCUGUAACUGACGCUGAGGAGCGAAAGCAUGGGGAGCGAACAGGAUUAGAUACCCUGGUAGUCCAUGCCGUAAACGUUGGGCACUAGGUGUGGGGACCAUUCCACGGUUUCCGCGCCGCAGCUAACGCAUUAAGUGCCCCGCCUGGGGAGUACGGCCGCAAGGCUAAAACUCAAAGGAAUUGACGGGGGCCCGCACAAGCGGCGGAGCAUGCGGAUUAAUUCGAUGCAACGCGAAGAACCUUACCAAGGCUUGACAUGUUCUCGAUCGCCGUAGAGAUACGGUUUCCCCUUUGGGGUGGGUUCACAGGUGGUGCAUGGUUGUCGUCAGCUCGUGUCGUGAGAUGUUGGGUUAAGUCCCGCAACGAGCGCAACCCUCGUUCCAUGUUGCCAGCACGUCGUGGUGGGGACUCAUGGGAGACUGCCGGGGUCAACUCGGAGGAAGGUGAGGACGACGUCAAUCAUCAUGCCCCUUAUGUCUGGGCUUC
rnacentral:rRNA from 1 species